CCAUCCUCGAGCAUGCCACCGGAGCGGGGCGCAGCUCGGCCGCGAGGCCCCUUCCACCUGAAUGCCGGUGUCACUAUGCCGUGCAAAAGGCUAUAGAAACACGCAAAAGGAGCCAGCUAAUUCACAAUUCAUUAACCGGAGAGGAUUCUGUCAAAGUGUAUCAUCUUUCAGGCGAGUGUAAAUGUAUCAUUAUGCUGAUUGCCGUGUUCCUUCAUACACAAGUUAGGAAGCUACGAUCAUCUUCUCUUCACAUUAUUGACCGCAAAAAGUAGAAGUAGCAAGGCCUAAACAGGCCUUAUGCGUAUCCUGAUGUAACAGUGCUUGAUCUCAGCAUUGUGUAUUUUGAUUUCCUGAUAGCUAGGCUCUUAGAUACCAAUGAGCUCUUACAAAUUUGUACCAAAUUAAAGCCUCUGGUGCCAUGUUUUGCUCAGAGCAGUGUUGUAACUCUGAUACCAGCGUAUGUAAAACAUCGAGUUGUAAUGCUUUUCUACCUGACA